rnacentral:lncRNA from 1 species
AUGGGAUCUGGUAACACUAAAUGAAAAUCACUUGAGAGCCGUCACUGAAACAUAAAAAUGGAAGGAAAUCUACCCACCAAUUUGUUCUUUCCACCAAGAAAAAAAAACCCCACAAAUGAAGAUGCCAUGUGUGGCAUCUUGAACUGCCACCAAACCACACCAGACACACAAAGGACUUACCUUCCAUACCUGGGCGCCAUCCCUCUGGCAGGAAAUGGGCACAAACAGAUGGCUUGUUCUCAUUUCCCAGGGACAAACCUUCAGGAACGCUCACUUUGCCCCGCUAUCCCCAUCGCUUGUCUCCACCUCUCUAAUCCCUGCGCCUCUCAACUGGCUCGGGACUGGUGUGAAGAGGAGCCCAAAUUAUUGGCAUGGGCGUUUGACUCUGAAGCAAUACUGCCAUAUCUGAGGAGGAUUGUUCACAAUUUUCUCAUAAGAAAAUUAGUAACUCAAAAUUAAAUUUUGAUAAACUGAAGAUUAAAAUGGCACACAGUAAAUGUGUUACAGAUGAAAAUUUG